rnacentral:sRNA from 1 species
CUGAACGAUCCGUGUUGACCAAUGUGAGGGCCUGUGCCAUGACCUGUUCUAGACCUUGUACGGUGGUUACCUCCGACGGAGUUGCGGUUGGAGCAGCCGGCGACGGCGCGGGACAAGACGGGGACGGCGCCGGGCGAUUCCGGCGGCGGCAUUGCGACCGGCAGGCAGACGCAGACGGUGUUAGUGGUGCCGCCGUCGACGCCCAGGAUGACGCCGCCGUC